rnacentral:hammerhead_ribozyme from 1 species
AUCCAGUAGACGAGUUCCGAAUGGGAUGAAACGCGCGUACUGGAU